CUUUGCUGCCUGUCAGAAAAUAAGGGAAAAAAAUAAAGAUUGGAACGAAGUUGUCAUGAUGAUUGUGCAAUGAGGCGCAUACCACUUAAGUGCAAAUAUGCCUCACUUCUCAGGUUGCCUUGAGAUAAGGUUUGCUCUGGCUUCCGCUGUGAGCAGCAGAGGGCUCGUCUUCAGCCUGCCACAGUUUGGCUUGAGCUACAGGUGCUUCUACUCCACCGCAGGUGAAUGAGCUCACAGAAUAGAAGCACCCGUGGCUGGCUUUUUCACUUUCUGGACCAGGAUUUGUCACCUCUGCCUGUAAAGAAAAAGAACAUUGAUACAACUCAAUCCAAGUUGACUGUUUUUAUUUUCAACUGUAUACUGGAACCUUCCACUGCAAACUUUGGUCUCGGACAACAGCAGACUGGACGGACACUUCUGCACACAACAAAAGAGGGAAAGUUAAAGCUGUCAUCAAGUUUAUUUGCAUGACAAACUGAAAAUGAAGUUUGCCUUGAGGAUUGGUUUCUUUGGCCAGCAGGUGGAAGGUCUUUGUGGCAGAGUGGCCGACAGCAUUCUAACUGGAAGCUGCCCUGCAUGAAGAGGAAAAGAAAAUACAGCAAGAGGAGACCUGCAAACGUCUCACGAAGGACAGCAAGUUGGCCAUUUUGGAACCUGCAG